rnacentral:lncRNA from 1 species
CGCGCCGACCAAAAGUACAUGUUCCCAGCUGAAGAUAUGCCCGGUGGUUAUUCAGCAGGCUUCGAGCUUGCUGCUGGCUCAAUUCCAUUCGUAGUUGCUGCAAGACGGCUAACGCAGGCACGGCCGAAUGCGCUGCGAAAAGCUGUUCCAAGCCCUCAGCGGCAUCCAUUUUACUUGCAAGGUUCUGAACGACUUUCGCGAUUCUUCUCUUUACCUAAUUCCGCGUUGUUAUUAUUUAUUUCGUAAGAGUGUAACUUGAGUUAAG